AAGAGUCACGGUUAAUAAAAGGGAAAAAAGCAAACAAAAAGCAUGACAAAUGGCACAAACCAAGCGCGGGAAAUAAGAAAACCGAGAGUGAAAAAGCACGCUCCUGCUUAACCCGCUUGUAUACAGCGCCUCUGUCAGAUGAAGCCUGGUUAUGUAAAACAAACACGAAAGAUGAUCAACUUGCAUGCAUAUGGUCGUGGGAUGUUGUAGAUAGGUGGGUGUAGCUAGGAAAACAACAUGUCCUUGACAAAAUGGACAAAUACCCCACAGAGAAAAGAACCUAGCUGCAAUAAUUUUUCUAGCCAUCGGAGGUAACUGGACAGAAGGGCCAUGCCACGUUGACGGCGACAUGAACCAUUUACAAUAAUCGUCCGUGGGAUAUGGAUGGAUUUACCAGCUUGCUGUUGAAGGUAGAGUGGAAGGAAUUUAACCGUACGUGGAAUCCCGGAGAUUAACCGAUAAAGGUAGAGAUGGGAACUUUUGAUGGGAUAUAAACGCAGCAUUUAAGACCUAGCCAACCUCCCCAGCAUUAGCCACAGUCCACACGCCCAGAUCCUGUCAUGGGCAAUUACGUUCUCAGCUCCAGCUUUUAAAAGUUGCACCAAAAAUGUUUUUGAUCAGGAAGAAAGUGAGAAAUCGUCCAGUCUUAACAUUAAAGCAAUCUACACCAACUAGCUAAUUUGUUCUCGAUCGGCAGAUUCGAAUUCACUGCAAAUAUCUGACCACUAUUCCCUCUUAAUAUUUAUGAUUCAUUAGGGAAUGUAAUUAUGUAUGGGCUAUGGCCGAACCCAAAAAAUAAUGGGUCGAAA